rnacentral:lncRNA from 1 species
GCCGAGGCUUUGAGGCGUGAUUUCGGACUCAAAGUUUAGGAAAGUACACAUCAAAGUUGGUGCAAACCUUCGCUUUUACGAAACGUUUCGAAAUAAAAUCGUUAUGCCAUACAGAGGGAAAGGUCAGUAUUAAAUUUAGCUAUUUUUUAAACGUUUUUGAGUUGUUCUUGUUAAGUUAUUGCUGUUUUUUAAAACACGUGUCUACUACAUUUAUUGUGGUACGUAUUCAAUUUCAUUCCCAUUCAACUGAUUCAAGCCGCUUCGUUUCAGCGCUCAGUCGCUUUAUUUUCUCAGUGUCUUUCCCUAAUUUCCUAGCAGUAAUGUUCAGAAAUACACCAGCUUUGAUUCAUCUAACUCAUAUUUAGUUUAUCUGCAAUUUCAGGGCGAAAAUUUGAAGAGAAAGUGAACUAAUUUAAGUCGCCGACAUGGUCGAAAUGCCGAAGCACUUGGUAAGCAUGUCCAUUAAUAAAGGCGUUCAAGAAGGGUUCUUGUUUGUUUCUCGUUUCUAAGUUUUCCCCAAUACACCUAGAACGUCUUAUAGCAUUGCUUUGUAGCCUUACGAACACUCUAAGUCAAGUUUAGUUACAAUACUGGUGAAACUCUUGUCCAUACCGAGCGAAUUGCAAUAAGCCAUAAGGCAUGUUCAAUUUCAUAUGCAGGCGUGGCAUAUCAUUUUCGAACAUUUUAGCUUUUACAAACUAGUUGUUUAUGUACAAAUUGUUCUCUGAGAGGGAAGGCUAAGCUUUUUGAAUUUCUUGAGGUUGUCUAAGUUGAAUUUCAUCCAAUAUUUUUACCGAAUUUAGAGAUGAAAUGUCCUCGCGGUUCAUGCCCUAAUUUUAUGCAUAGAUGCACGCAUUAAAAUAUUGAACUGGAUAACCAUAUCCUGUGUAAACAACAUUGAAUAACUCUUCGUUGUUUUGAAACUAAAAAUUAAUUGUCCAAUUUUUUAGACGGCCUCGAAGUCGAUCAUUUCAAAGGCAAACAGUAUAGAAAGACCUCUGCACAGAUUUGAAGGGGCGCUCCCCUAGCAGUCGAAGCAAAACAAGAAAGACGAGAAAGCAAAGGACAAAUGAGACGACCAGACACCAGCUCGAUUCCUUUGCGAACCCACAUGAGCAGCAUUCAUUGUCAGAUUUCGGUUGUGCAAAGUUUGGAAGAGAUUGCCAUUUAUCCAGUGACUGUAACGAAGGCAUAUAAUAAUAUACUCGAACAGUUUGUGGCAGCGUAGAUAGUCUGGCAGUGACGAAUGAGAAGACAAUCUGCCAAUUGUGAAGACUUUGUCGAACGUUGUUUAUAAAGAUGUUGUACAUUUCGUGAUUCUCGUGAUGCGUGUUCGAAAGUGCGUGGGACGCCACCCUGAAGACGCCCAAAUGCACAAAACAAAUUUGAAUGUGGCACAUUUCCUUAAUUUCGCAAUUUAUUCAAAUUUUCUACAUUUCUUGGUAUUUGUGAAAAGCUCUUAACGAAAUCGAAACGUUUGAAAUUCGGAAGUUUCUAUCUGGGAGUUUGUUUAUUUGAAAGAUAUUUGAAAUGAAAUUUUGAAGUUUCACUUUGGUAUUUGGUUUAAACGCUAGGUAAAAUCAUGCCAGAUGAGUGGUCGAUCAUUCGUCAAAUUUCGGUGAUAUUUCGGCUCGGACUUUCCCGACCUACAGUCGAGUUGCUCUGAUCGAUUGUCAUGAUCAACUAGCACAGGUGCAAGAUCUGGCCAACCUUACAUCAGUGCUUUUUGUUCGUGGCAUAGCUCGCUUGUAGGCCUGGAAGGAUCAAGCCGAAGUACCACCAAACUUUGAUUUGUGACCGGCUUUUUGUCUGUAUGGCUUUAUCCAGCGUUUUCCCGUUAUCACUUUGAUGCAGACUUUGGGAUUUUGGCUUGAAUAUCUUUAAUAUAAACAUUCUUUGAGGUUUAAUCUUUCAAGAAUUUCAUGGUUUUUGACCAGUUAAUGUAGUGUUUCUCGCAGAUACUAGCUAUAAUUGUAUUAAAAAUAUCGACCAAAAAAAUUUAAAACUGACUAAAACAUCAUUUGAGGUGUCGGAUGGGAGGGUCCAGUGGGCGUCGUAGCGGAUAACAAUGGAUAAAUACGGAUUACUGUGAUACUGUGUACUAUUGGAAAUGUUGUGAACAUUUAUGGAUAAUUGUGAACAUUAAUGGAUUACAACGAACACUUUUGGAUUAUUAUGAACAUUUGUGGAUAAGAUGUACCUCGCGAUCGACGGUUACCUACCAAUGUACCUUGACAACGAAAGCUACACGACAGCAACGAGAUGACUGCCUCAAGGUUAGAGGGUUUAGUCUGAUAUCAAGCAGUUGUUCGCUUGUUAUCAGGCAGUAGUAGCCUGCUAUCAGGCAGUAAUUAGCCUGCUAACAGGCAAUAUAUCUGUAGGAUUCGUACCCAGGACUCUAAUUUGCAUGUGGUCGGUGGAGUCUCUGGGUUAACCGGUUUAAAAUUCCUGGCGGUCUGUCGUUGAUAGUACAUUUGCACGCAAGGUUGAUUUUUAUUCGGAUGCUUGCAUGCUAAUAAAAAUUGAGGUACAAUUCUGACCUCAGUUAAUCAGAAUUUCGACAUCAUCUGCAAUCGAAAGUCAAUCUUAAAGAGGUUAACAUAUGAGCUUUCGGUCACGUGGUUCGUUGCAUGCACUCGAUUCGGUUAUUGGUGGGUUUCAGUAAGUGUUACAAUCCAAACGAUGGUCAACAUCAGAAAUGUUGGCACUUCCUGGAGCAAUUUAUUUGCUUCAAAUACCUACUACAUAAAGUAAAAAAGAGUGAAUAUUAUUUUUCACUCUAGUAACUCGUAGUGAGACCCACUAUCCAUUUGGCAUUUGCGGUCUGUUCGUGCCAAUGUUGUUCUCUUUGUGUAAAUGUACUGCUUAGGUGUCUCCGUGUCUGUGCAUGGAUGAACGCAGUGCGCAGCGGCUAGCUAGUAUCCAGAAUAUAGGCAGACAAGUAAAACCUUGCCAGACUUAACAUUUUUGUUUAUAUCUGUAUGUUAUGUUCAUAAAUGUAUAGAAAUAUCAUGAAAUGUGUUGGGCUUUGGCUUGGGGUUAAAUAUAACCUUAUAACCUUAACCUUAAUCCAUUACAUGAUCUGUAUGUUUGUGUGCGUAAUAGGUAUGGGUGUAGCCAAAAUUUUGUUAGUUGAAAAGCUGGCAUAGUUUUGCUUGAGUAGGAUAACUAAAUUGGGUGCAAAUGGUAUCCAUAGCUUAGAGGGUGCAAAUGGUACCCGUAAGAAGAUUGGUGGAUAUCGUUGUGGACAAGAUUUUUUGAAAGAUGUGGAUUCUCUCCGGGUACAACGGUUUCCACCUACAAAAAGAUCAGCUUAGGACUGUAAUGACAUAAUUAUUGUAAUGAUAAAUAGUCUAGGCUUUAGUGAAUAAUAAAUUGGCGGUAAAUUGUUGUGGAAAGGUGUAUCUUUCAUCUCCCGUAGUGCAUGUAUAUCUCCCGUAGUGCAUGUUU